rfam:Oryctolagus cuniculus unplaced genomic scaffold chrTn0658, whole genome shotgun sequence.
GUCAAUGUAGCUUAACAAUAAAGCAAAGCACUGAAAAUGCUUAGAUGAGCUUUCUAGCUCCAUGAACA